rnacentral:misc_RNA from 1 species
UCGCAUAAAGCCUGCCUAUUCACGGGUAGCAGCAAACAGUCUGCAUUCACCCGAUGCGCAGUACACGAGAAAAAGUGUCAGCUAGAGUUAGUUCUGCUUUGUGUCCAGCAUGAAGACAACCUACAUCUUUCAGCUGCUGAUCCUGGCGGGAUUUAUCCACCUCAGUGUCCAGUGGAGCGGUAGUGUAUGUUCACGAAGAAUCUGCGAGUACAGGUUGGAGUAUCGGUGUGCGUACAGAACAUGGAGAGCAUGCUGCUAUUAUAAGCGGUACAAAGUGCCGGACUGUCGGACUGUCUAUUUCUGCUGCCCUGGAUGGCGAGUUUCCACCAAUGAGAAAUGUGACGUGGCAAUCUGCAACCCCCCAUGCUUGAACGGAGGUAGUUGUGUAACCCCCAACAGGUGUCAGUGUGGUGAUGGUGCUGUGGGACCAACGUGUAACUCGUUGGUGUGCAACUAUCAGCGGCCCUGUUUCCCCGGGACAUGCACCUCUCUCGGCAGCAACAACGUCAACUGUGACUGUUCAUCAGGCUUCCGGUCUCCGCCAAGUGGCCCUGGCGAUUAUUGUAGAGAAUUGGAGUCAGAUCAACGACCAGUUAUCUUUGAGGUGCAAGCAAGAUUUGGAUUUUGGAUGAGAGGAACAGGAAGAACGCCCAUGGAAAAGUAUUCAUUGUAUGUGGACUCGACAAACUCCACCGAUAUUGACUUCGUGUGGACAAACAGGAAAAUGUUCAACCAGUUGAACAUCAAUGCAUCAGCUCAGUAUAUGGCUGAAAACAUCACUGCGUCGCCAUUCUUUGUCAAGGAUUACGGACUUGGCAUUGCUCGUGCUGAAGCUCGUCUGUAUCAUGAGAAAAUACCUUACACAGGGUCGUAUUUUACAACGGCACAAGUCAGCCUUGACCAGACUAUACCCUGUGAACCUGCAGUCUCGAGUGGACAACCAACUGAUGAAUCCUACAUCUGUGAUAUUGACAAACCCAAUUAUGACCGAUCUCUCGAAAAUGGCGACAAGUUGACCAUUACAUUCAAAGUGUGGAGUGGAGGUUACCGACAACUGAGGGAGUUUACUGGAAAUCAGUUCGUUGAUCGACAGUUUCAAAACUUUAUAGGACAAAAUUCGGAGAAAACCAUGGCUUACCGUUUUGACUUCCUGACACCAACUCACACAUGUCUCGAAAUAGGAUCGAGGUGUACUUCCGUCUUUUCAUUGGAUGAUGAUAUCACAAAGGGUUCUGUCAUUCUCCGCUGGUCCAACUGGACUGACGUACCGUCAGGCAUGCAUCGCUACGCCUGGGAGGUUUUCCGGCUACAGGUGGAUGAGAAUCAGGUGCUGAAGGAGUUUGAACCCUUGAUGCCCAUACAUGGUCCUAUUGAAGUCAAUCAGUCAUCAUCUGCCUCAAACUCCUUCCAGGCCACCUACAGGCCUUCACAGUCUGGAGUUUACUCCUUCAUCCUGGAGGCCUCAGACAAGGCCAAUAACUCUAUCUUUGUAAGAAGGAUCGCCAUAUACGACCCUGUUUCUAGUGUUACUAUAGAUGAAGGGGCAGAUAACCGACUUUACAUAUCAUCCGCUGAUCCUAGAGGGGGAUACAACUGGCAAGACGAUCCUUCUAGACCCGUCACGGUCACAUGGACCAACCACUUUGUCAACCUGAGGCAUGAGGAGGGCAAGUGGUUAAAUGAAGUCCUUGCCUACCCCCCACAGCUCGAGGACUUCUUGAAAGACAUCCCUAAAGACUCCGGACAGGAUGACCACGAAGGACAGAGGACAGUAGACGCAAUACCAAACAGGAGAGGUGUUGUCAAGUUUGAGGUUGUUGUUAGGAAGGACAGUAAUGGUGGCAAGAAUCAGCAGGAACCAACCUCAGGCUGGGUGGAUGUCGGACUCAAUGAAACAUACAUUAUACCUGCAGGUUCACACGGAGCUCCAUUGACGAACAGAGACACAGUGACAGUUUGGGUGAGAGCUACAGAUGUCCUAGGUAACACCCGGGUAAAUUUUACCAGGGUUCACUUUGAUGAUACACCACCUGAAGUCGAGCAGCCUGUGUUCCGGAGGAACAUCCAGACCAACAAUGUUCCAUUUAGUUCCACUGUUGAAGUCAAUGUUCGGGAUAUGCAGAGUGGUCUGAAACGUGUGAACCUUUUCGUCAGGAAAGUGAGCAACAAUCUAAUGAUUGUUAAUGAAACUUUGCCUCUCAGAACCAUUGAUGCGUGUGACAGCUUUUCAACGUGUUACUGUACCACCGUCAAUCCAGUCUGCUUCAACAAGACACAGUUUCUGCCCAUCAGCAACUGCUGGUUAAAACACCCAAUGUUGGAAUCACAGACGGUGACAAUGGACAUGGAUUUUGUGAACAUGGCGGGCAUCCAUACAACAAAGAGCUUCACUGUGGAUAAACUAGAUACACUGAAUGGAACACAAGGAUCGCUAGCACCUGUAGACGUGACUGUCACAAAGACAGAAACGAACUUAGUGACGCUGACGUGGAAACACUCCCCUAGUUGUUACAGCCGGACAGAGAUGUGGAUCAACUACGAGGUGAAUGGACAGACGGUGACGACCCUAAUGCACAAGACAGCCACCUCCCACACUCUGGUCGGCCUCCAGCCAGACACAACCUACACCAUCGUGGUCAUCUCCCAGUAUGGGGAGUUCAAGAGCAGGGCUGUCCCGGUGACCGCCACAACAGGUAAUAGUUUUAGUGUUCGUGAAGCUUUCGAAGAAUAAACGCAAUGCAUCAGCCACCUCUGUGGUCUUCCAGUCAGGAACAGUCACUACUUUUGAACUCAUCUCUUACAACGGGAAGGUCUUUUCGUUCUGUAAUGUUAAGAACCCAAUAUUCUGUUCUUCUGCAUUGCUAACCGUGAUUUUAAGUAAAGAUACAUGAAUAAACGUAAUUAAUUAAUACAUUUGUGUUUACUGCAUAUGUGUCUAGCUGCUCACAUAUGGAGUUAAAGGUUUAGAAGUUCUAAAACUUUUAACCCAAGUUAAACAAAUUGUUAUAUUUUGAUAAUGGUAUCAUAGUUUACCGCUGCAUGCGAUUGUUUGUGCAUAUAUAUUGUCAGACUACCUGUUACAUAUGUUUGUGUGAUCGGUGCGUUUGAUGGUCUGUAGAGCAUGUGUGUCGCUGUGGUUAAAAGUGAGUGUUUGGUCUGUGAGAUAUCAGCUUUCAGCUUGGGACACCUUACACUAUCCAAAGUGUCAACAUGCAGCUGUGACGUUUACGACAGUUAACAAUUCUAUUUAUUGUAAAGUAUUACUUACAUACGAAUAAACUAAAAUCCCUCUUAAUUCAGUCUUUUGAUAAUUAAUUCAUAUUGUGUAAAUAUUUGUAACCAAAUGAUGCCAUAUCUGUUAUUUCUAUUUUCAGCAUAUGGAUAUACAGAUGAUUUCUUCACAACAUAGUUACUCUAUGAAGGUGUUGAGGAAUCAAAACAUGUAUCUAUCAAACGCACUUAUGAACUGGAAUAUCACUUCUUCUAAAUGGAAUAUUGUUCCCAAUAACAAGAAGGAUGUAGUACUUUUAAUUUUUAACUACAUUACCCUGUAUCUCUAAUGCGAUUUUAUUAUGUUAUUAAUGUUUUAUUGGUAAUCGAUGUUCAAAAUGGUAGAAAUAGAUUGAUAAAAUAGUAAGAUGUAUUUGAAAACCCUCUAUACAUUCACGCUAUACCAUAUCAUCGCAGAGAACCGAGCAUUGGUCCAAAGCUGUGUUUCAUAAUUUGCAUCCAUCACUGACAUAUUUCAGGUUAAUUCCAUGUUUCCAGUCAACGUGAUAGGUGUCAUUCUUAACACCAUGGGUUUGAUUUCACUGGUCCAGAUCUUUCAGAGGGGAUAUCAACUAUGUGACAUGUCGGUGGUGGAUAGCCGGAUGGGUGAUGGGUGCCAGGCAAUUAUAUGAACGCUAAGCUGGUCGUCAACCUGACCAGACACGACUCCCAGUGCUACACAACUUUAGGCCAAUCUUGUUGUCUUGACUGCUGCAACAAGCACCGGCAAGAUAGUGACCGAUGGGGCUCUGACAAGAAUAUUAUAUUGACAAAUGCACCGACUAAUAUAAGGAUAUAAUUUGGGGAUAAUUAUCUAUCUCUUCUCCAUUUUGUGAUAUGACAAGCAUUUACCUCCAGCAUUGUUAGUGCAAAUAAAUUUGUAAAGACACA